rnacentral:rRNA from 1 species
CAACCUGCCGCUUACUCGGGGAUAGCCUUUCGAAAGAAAGAUUAAUACCCGAUGGUAUAAAGAGUUCGCAUGUUCUCUUUAUUAAAGAAUUUCGGUAAGCGAUGGGGAUGCGUUCCAUUAGAUAGUUGGCGGGGUAACGGCCCACCAAGUCUACGAUGGAUAGGGGUCCUGAGAGGAAGGUCCCCCACAUUGGAACUGAGACACGGUCCAAACUCCUACGGGAGGCAGCAGUGAGGAAUAUUGGUCAAUGGACGAGAGUCUGAACCAGCCAAGUAGCGUGAAGGAUGACUGCCCUAUGGGUUGUAAACUUCUUUUAUAAGGGAAUAAAGUGAGGGACGUGUCCCUUUUUGUAUGUACCUUAUGAAUAAGGAUCGGCUAACUCCGUGCCAGCAGCCGCGGUAAUACGGAGGAUCCAAGCGUUAUCCGGAUUUAUUGGGUUUAAAGGGAGCGUAGGUUGACAUAUAAGUCAGCUGUGAAAGUUUACGGCUCAACCGUGAAAUUGCAGUUGAUACUGUAUGUCUUGAGUGUACAAGANGUGGGCGGAAUUCGUGGUGUAGCGGUGAAAUGCUUAGAUAUCACGAAGAACUCCGAUUG